UGCAUCCUUAUCAUGAAUGCUCUACACCUCCACCUCCAUCUCCCACAACCUAGGUAACAGCUUUGAGACUCACUAAAAGUUGAACCCCCUGAAUGAUGUAGGCUAUGGGGCCACAUAAGACUUUGUCCAUCCAGGGUUACGAUGAAUGUAAAAUAUAAACUAAAGAACCAACAUUUUUCACACAACUCCAGGUUGUUACUACAAGUGUCAUCAAGGGAUAACUACAAGUAGAAGCACCAUUUUUGGAUGGAAAAAACCCUUCAGGAAAGUAUACGUAUCACAUGUAACAUGUAGUGUAACAAAGUAUGAACAGUAAGGUUUUUACAUACAGUAGUACAUAUUACAUACGUACAUAACUUUUUUUUACAGGAAUUUCCAACCAAGUUUGAUUAUGUACAUAUGUAGUACAUGUUAUAAACCACUGUACGUAUGGUUACUGUAUGUAACUUACUAAACAUACAUAACAUGACUUAACUUUGAUA